CCCAAAAAGCGUUUUUUCAAAAACGUCAGCCAAAAAUAGUGUUUGGUAAGUAUAAAACGCAACUUUUUGGAAAAAGUUGCAUUUUAUAUUUGUGAAGGAAUGUGCGUUUGAGUUUAUAGAGGUAUAUCGGUCCAUUUUGUUAAAAGCUGGUGCGCGUUUAAUGUAUCCGUUGGGGGUUGAGUUUGCAAUUACGUAAUUGCCCUUCAAUAAAGGGCAAAGUGUCUUCAGUCUUCAGGCACUCAUUCCUCUCAUCUCAUCUCUCUGCUCUGCGCAAGCCACAGCUCCACGCCUCUCAUCUCUUCUCUCAGCUCUGCCUCUCCUUGCGCGUAGAGUUUUGAUCAACAAAACACCAAGCAACACCGAUCUGCUACCAAAAACCACCAGAUGGGUAAAAACACCACUUCCAACUUCGAGGCAAACAAAACAAGAGCAGUAUGGGGAGAUCCAAGUUGGACAACUACUUUUUGUAACCUUUGUGUGGAAGAGAUUGAAGUUGGGAAUAAAGGAAUCUUUGCUGCCUUAAGUGCCAAAGGUUGGAGCAAUUUAGUAAUCAAAUUUUGUGAUGAGACUGGUCUAAACUAUGAUAAGGAACAAUUAAAAUGUAGGUGGGAUGUAUUAAAAGUAGAUUGGAGAGUGUGGGAAAAAUUGAAGGGUCUUGACACAAAUUUAGGUUGGGAUGCAGUGAAGGGAACAAUUGAUGCUAUUGAUGAUUGGGGGGACAUGAAGUUGAAGAUGAGUUGAGUAUUUUAUUAAUAUGUAGCUAGUUUGAAAUAGUUAUGUAUAUUAUUGUAAUAUGAGUGAAAUGACAAUUACAUUUUGUAGGAAGUACCCAAAGCUUCAAAAUUUCGACAUAAAGGUCUACAGAAUCUACAACAACUUGAUAGAAUGUUUAGGGAUGUUGCAGCAACUGGAGCAGAACUCAUGUAGUACAAUUUUUUUAUAUUUUUAUGUAGUACAAUUUAAA